GGUGGACAGUCAGCUGUUCAGCGACUUCAAGGCGUGGAGGGAGGAGCCGACGCUGGAGCGCAGCUGCUGCUUCCUGGAGAGAGUUUACCGAGAGGACAUCUACCCCUGCCUCACCUUCAGCAAGUGUGAGUUGGGGUCGGCCAUCUUGGAGGCGGUGGAGCAGAACACCCUCAGCGUCGAGCCGGUUGGGUUCCAGACGCUGCCCGUCGUCAAGGCCUCAGCUGUAGAGUGUGGGGGACCAAAUGGGCGAAGAGCUGAACUCGUCACGUAAGUCUGACUCUCCCCCCCUCUCUCUCUCUCUCUCUCUCUCUCCCCCUCUCUCUC